UCACUAAGCGGAGUAAAGAAACUAACGAGGAUUCCCCUAGUAACGGCGAGUGAACGGGGAACAGCCCAUCGCCGAAGCCUCCGUCCUCGAAGGGCGGCAGGCAAUGUGGCGUUAGGGAGGAGCCACUCUCCUCCGGUUCGCGGGAGCCCAAGUCCCCCUGACCGGGGCCAUCGCCCAUGGAGGGUGCUAGGCCCGUGCGGCUCUUUGUGCGACCGGAGGACGGCUCUCUUCCCCGGAGUCGGGUUGCUUGGGAGUGCAGCCCUAAGCGGGUGGUAAACUCCACCUAAGGCUAAAUACUGCCACGAGACCGAUAGCAAACAAGUACCGUGAGGGAAAGUUGCAAAGAACUUUGAAGAGAGAGUUCAAGAGUACGUGAAACCGUUCGGAGGCAAACGGGUGGGCACUCGAAGGUCGAACGGGGGGAUUCAGCCCGUCGGUGUAACUCCGUAAUCUGUGGUUCGUUCCUCGUCAAAAGGAUCCGAGGGCACCUGACAGCAGAUUUCUUUCGGAGGCCGGCGGGUGCACUUCCCCCUCAGUAGGACGCCGCGACCGGUUGGGAGAUUCAAAAGGCGGCCAAUACGGAGUGGUCAGAGCUAGGUAUCCGUGUUGCCUCAGGCCGGUGUCAAACCACGUCCCGGCUCCGCCGCCCAACCGUGGGGAUAAGACUUGUACAAGGUGACUCGCGAGUUUAGGGAGUCGACCUGCGACAGCCGGCCUGUAACAGGGCCGGGUAAAUUUCGCGGUUGCCUUUCYGGCAGGCUGGGUUCUCGGUUGCCGAACGCCCCUGGCUGGCGGUCGGCGGCAUCUNUGAGGCCCGCUGUYGGASUGGCACGGCUUACCGGAUGCGGCACUUGGGGUCUGCGGCGAGUAGGUCGGUCGCCCACCCGACCCGUCUUGAAACACCGASCAAGGAGUCUAACAUGUGCGCGAGUCAAUGGGAUUGCUUUGGCUAAACCCACGGGCGCAAUGAAAGUGAAAGUUAGAGUUAAAGUAGCGGGAUCCGUCGGGAGCCUCUUCGUGAGGAGGGGCCCCGCGGCGCACCGCCGGCCCGUCUCGACCGCAUCGCCGGUGAGGCGGAGCAAGAGCGUACACGUUGGGACCCGAAAGAUGGUGAACUAUGCCUGGGCAGGACGAAGCCAGAGGAAACUCUGGUGGAGGUCCGUAGCGAUUCUGACGUGCAAAUCGAUCGUCGGACCUGGGUAUAGGGGCGAAAGACUAAUCGAACCGUCUAGUAGCUGGUUCCCUCCGAAGUUUCCCUCAGGAUAGCUGGUGCUCGGACAGAGGAACGCAGUCUCAUCCGGUAAAGCGAAUGAUUAGAGGCCUUGGGGCCGAAACGACCUCAAACCUAUUCUCAAACUUUAAAAUGGGUGAGGAAAGUCUGGCUUGCUUGAUUGAAGCCCGGACAUUAUGGAUGCGAGUGCCAAGUGGGCCAUUUUUGGUAAGCAGAACUGGCGCUGUGGGAUGAACCAAACGCCGGGUUACGGCGCCCGAUGCAGACGCUCAUCAGACCCCAUGAAAGGUGUUGGUUGCUAUAGACAGCAGGACGGUGGCCAUGGAAGUCGGAAUCCGCUAAGGAGUGUGUAACAACUCACCUGCCGAAGCAACUAGCCCUGAAAAUGGAUGGCGCUCUAGCGUUGAGCCUAUACCCGGCCGCCGGGGCAGAGUUUCGUUCGCUCACAAGGCGUGCGUGCCCAGGCCCCGGCGAGUAGGAGGGUCGCAGCGGUGGGCGUCGAAGGGUAGGGCGCAGGCCCGCCUGGAGCCGCCGCUGGUGCAGAUCUUGGUGGUAGUAGCAAAUACUCGAGUGAGAACCUUGAGGACUGAAGUGGAGAAGGGUUCCAUGUGAACAGCAGUUGAACAUGGGUCAGUCGGUCCUAAGGAAUAGGGGAAACCCGUUCCGAAACUGGGGACUGACGGAUGGACGAUUGUYUGAASCACCCCAUAAAGACCGAAAGGGAAUCGGGUUAAUAUUCCCGAACUCGGACGUGGAGAUCGACCCCUCGGGGUCCAAUGCGGCAACGCAAACGAACUCGGAGACGUCGGCGGGAGUCCCGGGAAGAGUUGUCUUUUCUUUGUAAGGAACGGACUCCCUGGAAUCGGCUCACCCGGAGAGAGGGACGUUGUUUCCGUAAAGCACCGCGGCUAUGGCGGUGUCCGGAGCGCUCCCGCCGACCCUUGAAAAUCCGAGGGAGAGAAAUUGAUUUUCGCGCCGGACCGUACCCAUAUCCGCAGCAGGUCU
rnacentral:rRNA from 1 species